UACGUAGGGGGCGAGCGUUGUCCGGAAUCAUUGGGCGUAAAGAGCGUGUAGGCGGCUUGGCAAGUCUGACGUGAAAGCCCGCGGCUCAACCGCGGAUUGUCGUUGGAAACUGCCUCGCUAGAGUCCGGAAGAGGAGAGCGGAAUUCCUGGUGUAGCGGUGGAAUGCGCAGAUAUCAGGAAGAACACCCGUGGCGAAGGCGGCUCUCUGGGACGGUACUGACGCUGAGACGCGAAAGCGUGGGGAGCAAGCAGG
rnacentral:rRNA from 1 species